GAGGAAAAGAAACUAACAAGGAUUCCCCUAGUAACUGCGAGUGAAGCGGGAAAAGCUCAAAUUUAAAAUCUGGUAGUCUUUGGCUGCCCGAGUUGUAGUCUGGAGAAGUGUCUUCCGCGCCGGACCGUGUACAAGUCUCUUGGAACAGAGCGUCAUAGAGGGUGAGAAUCCCGUCUUUGACACGGACUACCGGUGCUUUGUGAUGCGCUCUCAAAGAGUCGAGUUGUUUGGGAAUGCAGCUCAAAAUGGGUGGUAAAUUCCAUCUAAAGCUAAAUAUUGGCGAGAGACCGAUAGCGAACAAGUACCGUGAGGGAAAGAUGAAAAGCACUUUGGAAAGAGAGUUAAACAGUACGUGAAAUUGCUGAAAGGGAAACGCUUGAAGUCAGUCGCGUCGUCCAGAACUCAACCUGGCUUUUGCUGGGUGCACUUUCUGGUAGACGGGCCAACAUCAGUUUUGAUUGCUGGAGAAAAGCCUUUGGAAUGUGGCACCUUCGGGUGUGUUAUAGCCUUGGGUUGUAUACAGUGGUUGGGACUGAGGACCGCAGCACGCCUUUAUGGCCGGGGUUCGCCCACGUACGUGCUUAGGAUGUUGGCGUAAUGGCUUUAAGCGACCCGUCUUGAAACACGGACCAAGGAGUCUAACAUGCCUGCGAGUGUUUGGGUGGCAAACCCGAGCGCGCAACGAAAGUGAAAGUUGGGAUCCCUGUCGUGGGGAGCACCGACGCCCAUACCAGACCUUCUGUGACGGAUAUGCGGUUGAGCAUGCAUGUUGGGACCCGAAAGAUGGUGAACUAUGCCUGAAUAGGGUGAAGCCAGAGGAAACUCUGGUGGAAGCUCGUAGCGAUUCUGACGUGCAAAUCGAUCGUCAAAUUUGGGUAUAGGGGCGAAAGACUAAUCGAACCAUCUAGUAGCU
rnacentral:rRNA from 2 species